GUGCCAGCAGCCGCGGUAAUACAGAGGGUGCGAGCGUUAAUCGGAGUUACUGGGCGUAAAGGGCGCGUAGGUGGUGAUAUAAGUCAGAUGUGAAAUACCCGAGCUUAACUUGGGGGAGUCGUCUGAUACUGUAUGACUAGAGUAUUGGAGAGGGAAGUGGAAUUUCCGGUGUAGCGGUGAAAUGCGUAGAUAUCGGAAGGAACACCCGUGGCGAAGGCGACUUCCUGGCCAAAUACUGACACUGAGGCGCGAAAGCGUGGGGAGCAAACAGGAUUAGAUACCCUGGUAGUCC
rnacentral:rRNA from 1 species